CAGAUUUUGGAGGUUUCAGUCCAUACUCAGUUGGCUCCAAGGCAGGGUGGCAUGGCGGGGCCGCAGUUCAUGGCAACUACAAACAGCGAGGCAAAAGAGCAAGCCACACCUUCUUCCUGCCAUUACAUCACAUCCGGGAUCCACCUCUAGAGCAAGCCUAACAUGUUGAACAGUGACUCCUGGUCCCUGCAGGUCUCUGGUCUACCCAGUUCUCCAGCCACAACCCUCUCCGCUCCAGCCUCUGGUCACCUUUGGGUGGCUCAGACUCCUUUCUAUCAGAAAAGAGAGGCCAUCCCAUGCCUCUUCCUCCCUCUUCGCUCCCAAAUAACUCUGCCCUGCCCUUAAUGUCUGCUCAGAUACCGCUGACUUAGAGACAGUGUUCUGGACUUGAUAAAACUUAACUUUCUGCAAUGCUCAUCGCACUUUGUUUGAAAAAUUUUAAUUGACAUGCAAUAAUUGUACGUAUUUAUGGGCUACAGUGCGGUAAUUGUAUACACGUAUACAAUAUGUAAAGAUUAAAUUGGAAUAAUUAGCAUUUCUUCGUAACAGCCAAGAUAUGGAAUCAAUCAAGGUGAUGCCUAGUGGGUAAAGAAAAUGUGUAUGUAUACACAAUGGACUAUUGUUCAGCCAUAUAGAAGAAUGAACUCCUGUCCCCGUGACGCCAAACUGGGAAUGGGAGGACAUUAUGUUAAACAGAGUAAGCCAGGCAUAGACAAGUAUGUUUCUAUUCAUGUUGGGAAGCUAACAUGCUGUGAAACUUGUUUUGUGAUUCUUUGAUUUGCGUCUGUCUUUCCUACCCAAUUUCCUGUUUCUAGGGCAAGGAUAUUUACGCUGCUUACUACUGUCUCCUGAGUGCUUAGCCAAGUCACCAAAUUUGUUGAGUGAAUGACAAAGCAAUCAAAUGACAAAAGAGAAUGAAAGGGAAAGCACAGCAAAACACACCACUGCUGGUAGAUGACAAAAUCAACUAUUCCUUCAAUACACGAGUCAUUUCUUUAGGCCGAACAGACUUAUCACUAUAAUGCCUAAAUCAUUUAUGUAACCCAUUUAUUAUGAUUUUUUUGUUUUUAGGGUUGUGUGUUUGUGUGUGUGGUUCCCCCUCCCCCCAGGGGGAGGAGGAGAAUCCCAUUACUAACCAAGCCUCACAUACAAAAUGAUAGAUGACUAUUAUGUAUUUUUCCUUCUCUGUAUUUUUCUUAAUGGAAGCAAAUGGAACUUUCCAAAUAUCACUGUAUGAUUGGAAAAAGUGAA